rnacentral:rRNA from 1 species
AGGAUGAACGCUGGCGGCGUGCCUAAUACAUGCAAGUCGAACGAGGUGCUUUUGUAGCAAUACGAGAGUAUCCUAGUGGCGAACGGGUGAGUAACGCGUUGGUGACCUACCCCAAAGUGUGGAAUAACAGUCCGAAAGGAUUGCUAAUACCGCAUGUGGUUAUCGGAUUUAGAAACUGAUAACUAAAGGAGCAAUUCGCUUUGGGAGGGACCUGCGUCCCAUCAGCUAGUUGGUGAGGUAACGGCUCACCAAGGCUACGAC